CCUGUGAGCCGCCUUUGAGUUUACUUUUCUGGGACGCUGAAGCGCAGGUGUUCCCGUCGGAGAAGCUUUCGUUCUCGCUGUCGGCUGAACUGUCCUCCCUGUCACUGCACGCGGCCUCCGCUGAUUUCAGGGGCCGAUGGCAUCGAGUCGUGAGGGCGGAGAGGCAGAUGUUUUGGCCCUCUUGUGAGAGAGAGGCUUUUCUAUUCUGUUGGGAGAAAGAGUGAAUCUGGCCGACAAUUAUCCCUAAGAGGGAGAUUUAACUGAUGAAAUGACGUUUGAAUGUAGAGAUCUGUGUGAACUCUUACUGAUCGUUUUGGGGGGAAUUACAAAAUAUGGCUGUGUGUGUGUGUGUGUGUGUGUGUGAUUUUUCUAGAUUUAAAAAAUAAGAAAUAUCCACAUUUAGAAAAAACAAAAAACAAGUUCUUAGAAAUGUAAUCUUUAUAUAGUAACUUUUACUUUCAUACUUUUUAAAAGAAAAUACAUAAAAAAAUAAAAGUCAAAACGUC